rnacentral:rRNA from 1 species
AUUGAACGCUGGCGGCAUGCCUUACACAUGCAAGUCGAACGGCAGCACGGAGCUUGCUCUGGUGGCGAGUGGCGAACGGGUGAGUAAUAUAUCGGAACGUACCCUGGAGUGGGGGAUAACGUAGCGAAAGUUACGUUAAUACCGCAUACGAUCUAAGGAUGAAAGUGGGGGAUCGCAAGACCUCAUGCUCGUGGAGCGGCCGAUAUCUGAUUAGCUAGUUGGUAGGGUAAAAGCCUACCAAGGCAUCGAUCAGUAGCUGGUCUGAGAGGACGACCAGCCACACUGGAACUGAGACACGGUCCAGACUCCUACGGGAGGCAGCAGUGGGGAAUUUUGGACAAUGGGCGCGAGCCUGAUCCAGCAAUGCCGCGUGAGUGAAGAAGGCCUUCGGGUUGUAAAGCUCUUUUGUCAGGGAAGAAACGGUGGAGGCUAAUAUCCUCUGCUAAUGACGGUACCUGAAGAAUAAGCACCGGCUAACUACGUGCCAGCAGCCGCGGUAAUACGUAGGGUGCAAGCGUUAAUCGGAAUUACUGGGCGUAAAGCGUGCGCAGGCGGUUUUGUAAGUCUGAUGUGAAAUCCCCGGGCUCAACCUGGGAAUUGCAUUGGAGACUGCAAGGCUAGAAUCUGGCAGAGGGGGGUAGAAUUCCACGUGUAGCAGUGAAAUGCGUAGAUAUGUGGAGGAACACCGAUGGCGAAGGCAGCCCCCUGGGUCAAGAUUGACGCUCAUGCACGAAAGCGUGGGGAGCAAACAGGAUUAGAUACCCUGGUAGUCCACGCCCUAAACGAUGUCUACUAGUUGUCGGGUCUUAAUUGACUUGGUAACGCAGCUAACGCGUGAAGUAGACCGCCUGGGGAGUACGGUCGCAAGAUUAAAACUCAAAGGAAUUGACGGGGACCCGCACAAGCGGUGGAUGAUGUGGAUUAAUUCGAUGCAACGCGAAAAACCUUACCUACCCUUGACAUGGCUGGAAUCCCCGAGAGAUUGGGGAGUGCUCGAAAGAGAACCAGUACACAGGUGCUGCAUGGCUGUCGUCAGCUCGUGUCGUGAGAUGUUGGGUUAAGUCCCGCAACGAGCGCAACCCUUGUCAUUAGUUGCUACGAAAGGGCACUCUAAUGAGACUGCCGGUGACAAACCGGAGGAAGGUGGGGAUGACGUCAAGUCCUCAUGGCCCUUAUGGGUAGGGCUUCACACGUCAUACAAUGGUACAUACAGAGCGCCGCCAACCCGCGAGGGGGAGCUAAUCGCAGAAAGUGUAUCGUAGUCCGGAUUGUAGUCUGCAACUCGACUGCAUGAAGUUGGAAUCGCUAGUAAUCGCGGAUCAGCAUGUCGCGGUGAAUACGUUCCCGGGUCU